AAGUUAUUUGCCUACUUCAAAAUCACCAGUGUUUUCCUACAAAAAAAAGUUGAGUAAAAACAAUAAUUAAUAUGCCAAACGAAUCAUAGAUACUACCAAAAGACCUUUCCUCACCAGAGCGGGAAGCUGUGGAGGAGUUGUUGCCCGGCAUUCGCACCAGACGGUACAGCUUGCCACACAUCACCCUGGCUCCAGGCACCCGGAGACGACCAAGGCAUGCAACGAGCGAGCACCCAUCUCGAUGCAGCUUCACGGACCGCGUUCGGGCGAACGGAGACGCUAUCGCACAGCAUGAAAACGGUAAGACUCCGCUUGUCAUUGUAACCUGCACUACUUGCCACAUGUACAGUUUAGCUUCUUCCGUCAGCACAGAGGGGUUUACAUGUGUUAAAUGUAUUGAAGUAGUAAGGCUAACGGAGAAGGUUGCAGAACUAGAAGCGCACAUCCGAACGCUCGUUGAGGAUGGUAAAACCGCUAAUGUUAAUGUUUCAAACACUGUUUCGGGUGCGCCUACGGUAACGUGUAGUACACAUAGCUCGGUUUCGGCAACUGAGUUAACACGGCCGACUAACUGGGUGACUAUCAGGCGGCGUAGUCAUAUUCGAUGCCCAUCGAAGUCCCCCCUAGUAAUUUCUAAUAGAUUCGACAUCCUAAGCAAUACACCGGCUGAGACAUCUGUUAAAGGUGCCCUUGUUAUUGGAGACUCGAUACUAAAGAACGUGAACAUUGAGGCACCAGCCACCAUAGUUGACUGUAUACCGGGAGCCAGAUCGUCAGACAUUAGAUCCAAACUUAAAAUGCUGGCUAAUGCUAAGCGUAAGUUUUCAAAAAUUGUUAUUCAUGCCGGCGCAAAUGACACCAGACUACGCCAGUCGGAGAUCACCAAAUAUACUAUUAAAGAGGUGUGUAAAAUUGCAAAAACAAUGUCAGAUAUUGUAAUAUGCUCUGGUCCCCUCCCCGCCUACCGGGGUGAUGAAACUUAUAGCAGAUUAGUGUCUCUUCACCACUGGAUGUCAAAAUGGUGCCCUCAGCAUAACGUAGUGUUUAUAGACAAUUGGAAGCACUUCAGGGGGAGACCUGACCUGCUAAAGAGAGAUGGCCUUCAUCCGUCAUCGGAAGGAAAUGCUAUACUCUCUAGAAAUCUGACCAAUACUCUUAAUUCUAAUACAGUCUGACUACCCAGGGCCCAGGUCAGGAAACAGAUAGAUCGGCCUACCCGUCCAUCUGUUAGCUGCUCUGACAUGUCAAGAUCACAUAUAUCGCAGAACUUAGAGUCUAUCUUACCAGAGUAUCAACACAUUUCAACUGUGUGCGUUCCUCGAACAAACGAAUACAGAGCACCGUUUACCUCGUCUCGUACAAAUCUUACUAACAUAAAAUUAGAAAACAAUACGUUUACAGAUGAACCUCGAAUGUUAAAAUUCGGCCUUCUUAACAUUAGAUCGCUUACCAAUAAGGAACCCAUUGUCAAUGAAAUAAUUACUGACCAAAACUUAGAUGCACUCUCUUUAACAGAAACCUGGCUUAAAGCAGACGAUUACAUUAUUUUAAACGAAUCCACCCCACAAGACUACUAUUACAAACAUGAACCGCGAUUAAAGGGGAGAGGGGGUGGUGUAGCUACAAUAUACAACAACAUUUUUAAAGUUAACCAAAAAUCUGAACUAAAAUUUAAUUCAUUUGAAAUAAUGCUAUUAAAUAUGGAAAUAACUGAUCGUAACCAUAAACAGCUCUCUUUUGUCCUUGCUACAAUCUAUAGACCUCCGGGCCAUCAUGCAGAUUUUCUUAAAGAAAUAUCAAAUUUCCUGUCUGACCUCGUAGUCACUGUAGAUAAAGCUCUUAUCGUUGGUGACUUUAAUAUACACGUUGAUAACCCAACAGAUACAUUAGGAUUAGCGUUUAUAGAUAUUCUAAAUUCUCUCGAUAUUAGACAAAACGUGACAGGGCCCACGCAUACCCGUAGGCACACAUUAGACUUAAUUCUGUCACUCGGGCUCAAUAUUAAUGAAAUCGAGAUAUCACCUCAGAGCGAUGCAGUUUCAGACCAUUGCCUUGUCUCAUACACGGUACCUCUAGAUAGGAUCACUCGAACCACAAAAUGCUACCGACUAGCCAGAACAAUAAUUUCAACCACUAAAUAUAACUUUAUUAGCACUCUUCCAGACCUGUCCCAAAUGAAACAUGUAGCAGAUAAUCCUGAAGAUCUAGAUAUUCUAAUAGAAAACCUGAACAGUAUUUGUUCUAACACAUUGGAUGCCGUAGCUCCAAUUCGAAAAAAGAGAAUCAAAGAAAAAACGCCAGCUCCAUGGUACGACCAUCAUACCGCAUCCCUUAAAAAGGCUGCUAGAAAAAUGGAAAGAAACUAUAGAAGCACAAAGUUAGAGGUAUGGCGUGCAGCAUGGAAAGAGAGUGUUAAACACUACAGACAGGCUAUAAAAAUUGCCAGAUCUACGUAUCUCAGCAAUCUUAUUAAAGAAAAUCAUAAUAACCCUCGCUUCCUCUUUAGCACAGUUGCGAAACUGACUAGAAAUAAAGAACAAACAGAACCCACUAAUAAACUCCCACACAAUAGUAACGACUUCAUGAACUUCUUUACUAAGAAAAUUAUGAUUAUUAGGGAAAACAUUGUAGGUACCCAAGCAGCCACCACUCUACCCAGUAAUAUAUUUAACGCUAGCUUACCAUACCAACAUCUUGAGUCAUUUAAACCUACUACAAUAGAAGAGCUAUCUAAAUUAGUAGCGUCAUCCAAAUCAUCAUCCUGUAUAUUGGACCCUGUUCCCACAAAAUUACUCAAAGAGGUAUUCCCUGUAGUGUCUAACCCAGUACUAAAUGUAUUUAACUCAUCACUAGAAUUAGGCUACGUUCCCACAGCUUUCAAACUAGCAGUUAUUAGACCGCUCAUUAAAAAACCAAACCUUGACCAGGGAGAUCUAAAUAACUUUAGACCAAUCUCAAAUCUCCCUUUUCUUUCCAAAAUAUUAGAAAAAGUAGUGGCAAGCCAGCUACGUACAUUCUUAGCAAAUAAUAGUACAUAUGAAAAGUUCCAAUCAGGAUUCAGGCCCCACCAUAGCACAGAGACAGCGCUGCUUAGAGUUACAAAUGACCUUCUCCUAACAUCCGAUCGUGGCGAAAUAUCACUCCUUAUAUUAUUAGACCUUAGUGCAGCCUUUGACACAAUAGAUCACACAAUCUUACUUAAUAGGCUAGAAAACUAUGUUGGCAUCAGUGGUCAAGCGCUAGCCUAGUUCAGAUCGUAUCUAACCAAUCGCUAUCACUUUGUUUAUGUAAACGAGGAGGAGUCACAUCACUCCCUGGUUAAAUACGGCGUACCGCAGGGAUCAGUUUUAGGUCCUAUCCUGUUCUCGUUAUAUAUGUUACCUCUGGGAGAUAUUAUUAGGAAUCAUAACAUACAGUUUCACUGCUACGCCGAUGACACACAGCUUUACAUCUCCUCACAUCCUAGCGAAACACACAAUUUUUCUAAGCUAUCAGACUGCAUCAGUGAUAUAAGUGACUGGAUGGCACAUAACUUUCUUAUGCUAAACUCCAAUAAGACAGAGAUACUUGUUAUUGAACCGAAUCGCUACAAAUAUAAUAUGACAGACUACAAGUUGCCCAUAGAUGGCUGCACUGUGGUGCCAACCUCCACGGUUAAGAAUUUAGGUGUGAUGUUUGACAGAAAUUUAUCCUUCGACAGCCAUAUCUCCAAUGUCUGCCGCACAGCAUUCUUCCACCUUAGAAAUAUCUCAAAAAUACGCCAUAUGUUGUCUGCAUCAGAUGCAGAGAAGCUUAUCCACGCUUUUAUGACCUCUAGAAUAGACUAUUGUAACUCGUUACUCGGAGGAUGCCAUGCAAAUCAGGUAAACAAGCUUCAGCUAGUUCAAAACGCUUCUGCGAGAGUUCUUACUCGAUCUAAGAAGUAUGACCGCAUAAGCCCAAUUCUGGCAUCUUUACACUGGCUACCAGUUAAAUAUCGUAUACAAUUUAAAAUAUUACUAAUCACCUACAAAGCCUUAAAUGGCCUAGCACCCUCAUAUCUUAGAGAAUUAUUAUCAGAAUACAAUCCAUCACGUGCAUUGCGGUCACAAAAUUCUGGCCUCUUAAUAAUCCCUAAAAUAUCAAAAGUGUCUAAAGGUGGCAGAUCCUUUUCCUACUUAGCCCCUAAGCUAUGGAAUGAUUUACCAACCGACGUCCGAAAAUCAGAGACGGUAGAUAACUUUAAAUCUAGACUUAAAACUUUUCUCUUUAACAAGGCAUUCGCAUAGUUUGUUUUAGCAAUAGUACUUAUCUCCCAAUAGCUAGCUUGUACAACCUAAUAAAUAAAUAAAUUAAUGAAUAAAUUAAAACCUUUC